CGGAGUGUAGCGCAGCCUGGUAGCGCACCUGCUUCGGGAGCAGGGGGUCGGAGGUUCGAAUCCUCUCACUCCGACCA
rnacentral:tRNA from 61 species